rnacentral:rRNA from 1 species
UACGUAGGGUGCAAGCGUUGUCCGGAAUUAUUGGGCGUAAAGAGCUCGUAGGCGGUCUGUUGCGUCGGCUGUGAAAACCCGAGGCUCAACCUCGGGCCUGCAGCCGAUACGGGCAGACUAGAGUUCGGCAGGGGAGACUGGAAUUCCUGGUGUAGCGGUGAAAUGCGCAGAUAUCAGGAGGAACACCGGUGGCGAAGGCGGGUCUCUGGGCCGAUACUGACGCUGAGGAGCGAAAGUGUGGGGAGCGAACAGG